GGGGGCAGCUGGCUGAGGGGGACCAUGGUGUGCUGGAGGGGUAGGGCAGAGCCCUGGCUGGGGCCGGGGCUGGGGGCCUGACCUCUCCGGGGUGCGGUGGUUGCGUGGGAGGCUUGCUGUGGGGGAGCUGCUGGAGCUGGCUGGUUCGCACUCCCCAUUGACACACCAAGGGGCAGGGGGCCGACGGACUCAAGCCGGCCCAGGGGCACAGCCUCUCAGUGGAUCCAGGUCUUCCCACCGGAGCAUAACUGCUCCGCUGGGGGGAUGGGACGGGAUGCCAGAGCCCUGGGUCCCUCUGUCCCUUCCCACAGCCCGGUGCCAGGAUGGCCUUUCUGGCCCAGGACCUCCUGUUUGAACUCCAGCCCACUGGCUGUUGAGCCACGUCAGCUCUCUAUUUUCAACCAAAGAUCCGUGCAAUCCACCCCGGAGUUCAGGCAGCCCCCUUCGGCAGUGCAGUGAGCAGAGAUGCUCAGCCCCUGGCUCUGGCUGGCCUACACUGAAAGGGGAAGAGCAGGGUGCUCUGGGGGGGGCAAUCACUACAUCUGGGCAUCAGCAGAAAUUAAACGUAAUUGUUAAUUUGUAACGCUUCUCAGCAUCCUCAUGGAGCUGGGAGGGGGAGGAAGUUGGACAGAUCUGUGUGGUUUUAAGGCAAAUUUUAAAAAAACGGUUGGGUUCAUAUAUUUCCAGUUGCUUAAAUUAACCAUAAAUAUACGGCUAUGUAAUGAGUUAUAGGAUGUAACUAAAUCUGCACUUCCGCUCCUCAAAGUGACUUGGUCUGAGCGGGAUUCGGUGAUUCCUGCUUUGGCUCAGUCUCCAGAUCAGAUCUGCGUUUAGGCCGCUCCAGGGCGGACAGCAGAAUGAAAACCGAGUACACGAGAGCUGGUGCCCUGGUUGUCAGUGCUGCAGUGUUUGAUAAAAUAAGCGCUCCAGCCGCAGCCGCUGAGAUGUUCAUGGAAUUGUUCACCUCGCAGGGGGAACUCACCUGACCCAUUUGUCUUUCCCAUACCGAGGCUUUAAACGGACUUUAGAAGUUAGUGCCCACAAGGACCACUGCUUAUAGGCCUCAGAGCCCAGAGAACUUUUCUACUGGUGUCCUUAAUUACAUAGGUGAUGUUGAUGUUCUGACACCACCUGCUCAGGGUUAGAAGAAUCAGGAUUGGUUGCCCCCACCAUCAGUGAUACAGUAUUCCUGCUGAUACAGUAUACCUUACCCCAAAAUGUACUGUUGGGAGCUUAGUUGUGUUAGGGAAGCAGCUCUUCAUACUGUUGGAUUUAUUCUGUUCGGCGUUAAUGGUGCGCAGAGAACAAAUCUUGCACACUGAUGUAUUGCAUGCUGAUGUUUUAAAAGGGUAUUGCAAAGCAUAUGCUGGCUGGCUGGCUUCCACGGUUGAGUUCAGAUCUGGAGCCCUCGUUUGGGAUCUGGGAAUAGUGCUGGGUAUGUUUUGUUCGUGAUGAAAGCUCUUCAGGGGCUAAGCAGAACUAGAGUCUGUUCCACAGGAAUCCUCCUCCUCCUGGGCGAGAUGGAGGGAUGUCAGAAAAAUCCCAUUUGCAGAUCCUCAGAGAAGUCUAGAGACAUUUGAAUUUUCUGUGAAGUUGCUGAAGUUGUUUUCUCAUGGAAAAAAUGGCAUUCCUGCUCCUAGCCUUUAAAGUUGCAAUCCUCACGACCUGGAAAAAAUUCCCCCUUCAGCCCCACCAGAGCCAAGCGCUCCUGGGAAGUGUCUAGUCCCCGUUCUGUUCGGGUCGAAUCUUCCAGCUGGGGGCAGAGGAACUCCAGUUUGACUCUCCAAUCCCAGGCAGAGUUUGCAGCUCUGGCAGGUGGAAAAAACUUCCUUUGAAUUGUAAACGGAGCCAGCUCAGCUUCCUGGUCCACAUCUUCCAGUUUUCCGGGCUAAUUACAGAGAGACCUUUGGUCCCCUAAACCUCUCUCAUCCCCAUUUGUGAUAACCGCCAUCAAAAUGUGAAGGAAAGCCAUUCAGUAUAUAGACACAGCUCCAGAGUUCCCCCAAACUCCCCCCUUAGGGUGCUCCAGGAUAAAGGGUGUUUGGGACAAUAAGAUGAGCAGCUCUGAUAAUGGAGUGGCGCAGGGAGUUGGUCUUUUGCGGGAAAACAAGCCAUUUUGACAUAGUCACUCAGGGUAGAAGCACACUGUAAAACAACGGUUCAGUUGGUCUUGGUUUCCACUGAUUUCCAAGGCAGCCUGAAUUUUCUCAGUCUUGAUGCUCUGCCUGCAGCUGGGAGGUCGCCUCCUGUGUCAUUACGACGGCAGCCCCGAAAGGGACACUGGCUCAUUGGUGUCGUCUAGGCUGCUAUUAAAAUCUGGUUUGCUACAGUAUGGCUAGACAGGGAGAGUCUGGCCUUCCCUUGCUUUGCUCCUUGUGUGACCUUAUACGCCUGGGAACGAGGGGUGCAGGAAGUCCCCUACAGCAUGGGUGGAGAAUUCGGGAUUGGUCGCCUUCCGCCCUUUGAGCAGGUGACACCAUGAGGUGCAGAGAGGUGAAGGAUCAGGCCCAGGCACUGUGCUGUGUGUGGAUUGGGAGCAGAUGGGUUUAACUGCACUCCGGCUCUGCUCAUGCUGUGCUGCUCUGUCACUGGCUCUCCAGGGGAAUUUGCCAUCACUCUAACCCAGGCUGUUGGCAACAGCUGUUGUAACGCAUCUCCCUUGGGCUCAUUGGCUGGGGAGAUCCGUAGGCAGUGGAGCAUGGUUCCAUUUACGUACUGUACCAUCUCGAUGCAGUUUUCGUUUGACUCCCUGCAGCCAAGGUGCCAAGCAGCAGUGGGAAGCUGUGUCCUUACCAAGCGUGCUCCAUGGAUAGACUCGCUGAAUUCUGCCACUGACAGAUUUGCUGUGUCUCUUCUCAGCACUAUAUUCCAGGGAUGGGACCCCUUGUGUAGAAAAAGGUCCUGCGGCCGUUAGAGUGGCGGCAUGUCUGGAGCACAUGACUGGGGCUCAGGAGACGUAGGUGUUAAUUCCAGCUCUGCCACUGCCCAGCUGUGUGACCUUGGGAAAGUCCCUUCCCUUUUCUGUGCCUCAGUUUCCCCAUCUUUGGAACUGAUGAAACUCUCCUAAGUUAUAUGGGGAUGUAGAGCAAAGUGGCACCGGAACAUGUAGCAUUUCUUCUUGCUCCAGCACUACACAGCGCUGCAAGAUCUGUUGGGUUUUAAUACAGGGCUUUCUCAAACACUGUUGGGUGCAUGCCAUUUCUCAGUUGGUUUGGAUGCAGGUGCCAGUGUUUUGAUAGCACCCUCCCAAAUGGGAGGGGCCCUUUGGGCCAUGAACAUGCUCACAGUCUGUGAGCAGAGCUAGUGACCAAAGCCCCCAGGCCGCUCCUCAGAUUUCACUGAGAGGCCAGUCCCAUUGACUCCUACAGAACCACAGGCCUGAGCCCCGUGGGGCGGACUCUAUUGCAGAUAAAUGGGAUGGGGGUGCGGAGGGGAGAUCCCAGGGGAAAUUAAUCUGGCCAGGUUAGAGAAGAAGCUGGGAAGGGAAUGGAUGUUAAGGCAUCCUUGUGCAAUUGGAUCCAGCCAGGGCAGACCCUUGUAAAGUAACAGAGGUGCCGCAUGGGCCGAAUGAGUCACCUACCUGGACUGGGUUGCAGGAUUGGGACCAACCUAGCACGCUGCUCAGCAUUUUGAAAGGAAAACUCCAGUGGUUGGACUUUUUGCCAGGAUUUCCCAAUUCUCCCAUCUGCAGAAUGGGCUUUUACUUCGUUAUGUUGCAUUUAAUUCGAACCGUGUCCUUCCCAUUGAAAUUCAGGGGCAGAUACACACUAUGCAUCUCCAGUCACCCUUCCGGAGAAGUCUGGCUCCCUCCUCGGAGGAGUCUGAGCCAUCCGUUGCCAUAGAAAUACCACAGCUUGCACAGGGAUUUUUCGAGUGCAUCGUUGUCCCUUGGAAUUUCUUCCUUUACUGGGUACAAGUCUUUCACUUGCCGGCGCUUUUGUCUGAUUUUUAAUGUUCUGAUUGUGUGGGAGGUUUCUUAUUCUAGACAAAAGCGCAGUGGUUUCCAAAUGCUGCCCACUGGGGCUGACUUUAUGUAAUUUAUUGUGUGGGGGUUAUUUUUUAAAUUAAGUUUUUAAUAUCCAUUCCUAUGAGGAGAGACUCGAGAGAUUUAAAAAAAUCCGUUGUUGUUUUUUUUAAAGAAGAAAUAUUUCUCUACAAAGUCUGAUUGGGAAAAAAGGUGUUUUCUUCUGAAGCCUCUUUCUCCGAUCACUCGUGAAUUUGUGUAUGGAAACACCCAUGUUAAUGUCACCUGUCUCUUCGGAGGCCUAUGGGCAGCAGUUCUUUGACCAGGGAGUUAAAUGAAUGAAAACAGGCAGCUUCUCUUUCGGUACAUGUCAUUUCCUGUUCUGUUGGAGACCAGGAAGUGACCUCAAAAGGGAUGAUGCUUCAGCCAUAGUCAUGUUUCUCAUAUUCAGGACAGCACCUAAGCAUGUGCUUAAGCCCCUUUGGAGUCACUGGGAAUAAAGCACAUGGGUAACGUUAAGCACUUCUGUCCGUGUUUUCCUGAAUCGGAGCUGCAUGCACGUCUGUAACUUCAGUGGGUUGAUUCGCUUGGUAACUGUUCUCUCCACUGACUUCAGAGGACUGACUCCUAAUCUGUGCUGUCAUAAGAGUAGAAUUGAGCCCCUCGUGUCCUUGGUUAUCAGAAACUAGACCUGUUUCAAGGAGCAAAUUGAUUCCAUUUAAAGGCCCAAUUGAUGUUCUCUCAGUAGCUUUCAUGAGUCCUGUUUAGCUUUUAUCCAGGAUACUACAGUCUCCAUGAAACAAUGCCUCCAUCUAGCCCAGGGGACUGGGUUCGCAAACUGCGCUGCUGGCACCAAAGUGCAGAACAAAGCGAGGGCAUGUGCCGAUCCAGAUCAGAUCUUGUCCCCACUUGGCUUCAAAGGCCCUCGAAUGUUGUGGCCAUUCCAUAGUCUGGGGGCCUGAUUCUGCCCUGCCCUGCAUACAGGCACAAAGGCAUUGUGUUCGGAUUUGGGCACGUUUUAUACUCUCUUGUGCACCAGUGCGAGUGGCUGCACAAGGGGCAGGGCAGGAGAGAAUCACACACAUCCUCUGCAGGGAAUUUUAGCUCCUCAGUGCCGGUUGUCUCCUCUCCCCUGAGCUCUCCUGAUUCCUUUGGCUUUCCUUCUCCCUAGCCAAUCAGCAAUAACCCCCACACUGGACUCCCCAGCGUCGCUGGCUUUGCAUCACUGAUGGGGCCAAGGGGGAAGAUCCAAAUACUGUAGACAGGCCACGCCAGGUAGCAAAUGACUAAUAUUUAUUUUGCACCAGAUUUAAUUUGUAUAUGUUUGUGAUUAUUUUGGGGAUCGUCGUUUCUUGUAUAUUUUUUUUUCAUUGUUCUGAGUUGUGCCCUUUUAGGAGGGGAUUUUGUUUUGUUUCAUUUUUGAGUCUGCGUCUCUUGUCACUAAGAAAUUAUGAUAUUUGUUAAACGAAAUAUGGAAUUUAUUUUUUUGAUUGGGUAAUAAAAUAUCUCUCUAUA